rnacentral:rRNA from 1 species
GACGAACGCUGGCGGCGUGCUUAACACAUGCAAGUCGAACGGAAAGGCCCUGCUUUUGUGGGGUGCUCGAGUGGCGAACGGGUGAGUAACACGUGAGUAACCUGCCCUUGACUUUGGGAUAACUUCAGGAAACUGGGGCUAAUACCGGAUAGGAGCUCCUGCUGCAUGGUGGGUGUUGGAAAGUUUCGGCGGUUGGGGAUGGACUCGCGGCUUAUCAGCUUGUUGGUGGGGUAGUGGCUUACCAAGGCUUUGACGGGUAGCCGGCCUGAGAGGGUGACCGGCCACAUUGGGACUGAGAUACGGCCCAGACUCCUACGGGAGGAAGCAGUGGGGAAUAUUGCACAAUGGGCGGAAGCCUGAUGCAGCAACGCCGCGUGCGGGAUGACGGCCUUCGGGUUGUAAACCGCUUUCGCCUGUGACGAAGCGUGAGUGACGGUAAUGGGUAAAGAAGCACCGGCUAAUUACGUG